AAAUUGAAGAGUUUGAUCAUGGCUCAGAUUGAACGCUGGCGGCAGGCCUAACACAUGCAAGUCGAACGGUAACAGGAAGCAGCUUGCUGCUUCGCUGACGAGUGGCGGACGGGUGAGUAAUGUCUGGGAAACUGCCUGAUGGAGGGGGAUAACUACUGGAAACGGUAGCUAAUACCGCAUAAUGUCGCAAGACCAAAGAGGGGGACCUUCGGGCCUCUUGUCAUCGGAUGUGCCCAGAUGGGAUUAGCUUGUUGGUGGGGUAACGGCUCACCAAGGCGACGAUCCCUAGCUGGUCUGAGAGGAUGACCAGCCACACUGGAACUGAGACACGGUCCAGACUCCUACGGG
rnacentral:rRNA from 1 species